UACGGAGGGUGCGAGCGUUAAUCGGAAUUACUGGGCGUAAAGGGUGCGUAGGUUGUUGAUUAAGUUAUCUGUGAAAUUCCUGGGCUUAACCUGGGCAGGUCAGAUGAUACUGAUUGACUGGAGUAUGGGAGAGGGUAGUGGAAUUUCCGGUGUAGCGGUGAAAUGCGUAGAGAUCGGAAGGAACACCAGUGGCGAAGGCGGCUACCUGGCCUAAUACUGACACUGAGGCACGAAAGCGUGGGGAGCAAACAGG
rnacentral:rRNA from 1 species